CUGCGAUAAGCGCCGGUAAGGUGAUAUGAACCGUUAUAACCGGCGAUACCCGAAUGGGGAAACCCAGUGUGACUCGUCACACUAUCAUUAACUGAAUCCAUAGGUUAAUGAGGCGAACCGGGGGAACUGAAACAUCUAAGUACCCCGAGGAAAAGAAAUCAACCGAGAUUCCCCCAGUAGCGGCGAGCGAACGGGGAGGAGCCCAGAGCCUGAAUCAGCAUGUGUGUUAGUGGAAGCGUCUGGAAAGGCGCGCGAUACAGGGUGACAGCCCCGUACACAAAAGCGCAUGUGCUGUGAGCUCGAUGAGUAGGGCGGGACACGUGGUAUCCUGUCUGAAUAUGGGGGGACCAUCCUCCAAGGCUAAAUACUCCUGACUGACCGAUAGUGAACCAGUACCGUGAGGGAAAGGCGAAAAGAACCCCGGCGAGGGGAGUGAAAAAGAACCUGAAACCGUGUACGUACAAGCAGUGGGAGCACCCUUUGGG
rnacentral:rRNA from 2 species